GUAGUGGAGGGCGCCCUUGGGGAAGUCAAACAGCGACUCAACUUAUGACCCAAACGCAAGACAGACGACGGUACCAGUGGAGCAGAGCACCUGGGAUUUACCAUAGCACGAAAAAAAAGUUUCCUGACUCCUGGGAUAGACCAAAACAAGCUAGAAACAGCAUCACGAAGCAGAAGGUUCAUGGUAAAACGGAAGGAGAUAACGUCAGCAUCACCCAUCUGUGUACUGGAACCAGCCGUGGGGCCUCGGGCAUGUUCUCAUCCACCGCGGGCUUCACAUUCUCCCCAUCUGUAAAACGAGGCUGUCGUGAGGACUACAGGAGAAUAUGCAUUUAAAGAGUCUAGCCAGGCCAGGACCAACAUGAAGUAAGCAAGGAGACUGCGGAGCAAAAAUCCCACCAGGGACCCUCUCUCAGGGUGACAAGCUGUGCAUGGCUGACACUGGGGCGCCUCCUUGAAUGUUGUGUUAGGUGCCUUACUUGCUGCACCCUAGUCCCAGCCCUGCUCCUGGCAUGCAGUAGGUACUUGCUGUUAUUACUACAAGACCUUCAAGGAGGGUAUAACCUAGCAGAGUCAACAAGAAAAGCCAUCUAACAAUACACAAGAGAAACAAUGGCUCAGGACAUGGUCCAGGGGCAUAUGAUAGAUACCCAGUGAGCCUAGCAGAUAAUGAGGGUUCUAUUUCAGCAAACCCCCACAGCCUGCCCCUGAGGCUGAGCCGUCUCCAGGGGACCCAGGGUUGUCUGGAAACAGUUGCAAGCAAGAUUUCUUUGCAUUGUCCUAACUGGUGUGGCUCAGUUGGUUGGGCUUCAUCCGGCAAAGAGAAAGGUUGCUGGUUCAAU